GGACAGGUAGCUCAGCAUGCAGAGUACCACAUCAACCAAACUCUCCAGUUUAGGGUGUGGAGGUCGGUGGUUCAAAUCCACUCCUGUCCAUCA
rnacentral:tRNA from 1 species